GGCGGUGAUGAAGACAAAAUUGAACAUCUACAACAUGCAGUUGCUGCUUUUUGUUUUCUUGGUGUGGGACCCUGCCAGAGACCAAUCAGGAAGAACUAGGCUCUAAGGAUCUCUGCAGCUGUGUAUGUGUUGCUGAUGCUUUCAGAGCCCACCUCCACCUCCUGGCUACAUGGAGCCUGGCACAUAGCCAGUGGAGUUUCCCUGAUGCUUAUAUUGUACUUGGCCAUUGGGUGGAGGUAUACCCAAAGUUGGUGCUGGCUAACAUCCAAGAAGAUGAAGCUAAAAAUAACAUUACCAUCUUUACGAGAAUUCUUGACAGACUUCUGGAUGGUUACGAUAAUCGGCUUAGACCAGGACUGGGAG
rnacentral:sRNA from 1 species